AUUGAACGCUGGCGGCAGGCCUAACACAUGCAAGUCGAACGGUAACAGGAAGCAGCUUGCUGCUUUGCUGACGAGUGGCGGACGGGUGAGUAAUGUCUGGGAAACUGCCUGAUGGAGGGGGAUAACUACUGGAAACGGUAGCUAAUACCGCAUAACGUCGCAAGACCAAAGAGGGGGACCUUCGGGCCUCUCGCCAUCGGAUGUGCCCAGAUGGGAUUAGCUAGUAGGUGGGGUAACGGCUCACCUAGGCGACGAUCCCUAGCUGGUCUGAGGGGAUGACCAGCCACACUGGAACUGAGACACGGUCCAGACUCCUACGGGAGGCAGCAGUGGGGAAUAUUGCACAAUGGGCGCAAGCCUGAU
rnacentral:rRNA from 1 species